UUUAGAGAGUUGGAGGCAGUACAUGAUCAAACCCAUCUAUCUACUUUUAUCUGUCAUAAAUGGCCUUCACGUGCCACACUUAACGCUCUACAUUUCUUAAAACCACUAAAUCCAAAACCCACUCUGUCUCAUUCUCUCUGCGCACCCAAACCCCAAAGAUGCACCACUACCAUUACCGUCUCUCACUCUUCCCUUUCCCUUUUCCAUUUCCUUGUUCGUCUUCCUCAUCACCAUGAGAAAAAGACGAAAACGAGCCACACCCCUUCUAACCCCAUUACCCUCUACCUCUCUUCCUCUUCUCCUUCCUCUCUGUUAGACCCACCCAAAAAUAUAUAAUAAUACUACAAACCCAGAUUCAGAUUUUUUUUUGGUAACCCAGAAACAGGGGUGAGAAAGAAAAAAAUACAUUAAGAAUGUGUUAUGUGGGCAAAGCAACAAAGAUCUUCAUUUUCAUAGUGACGGUGCUGGUGGUCAUUGGUCUGGUCUUGGGAUUCGGCCUUCUACGCCAUAGUAUCCAUCACAAGGACCAUAAAUGCAUCGAUGUCUCCUGUCUUUCUCCACCUGCGGUCUUCCCUAAUCCAAAUCCGAAUCAGAAUCCAAGUUCUAGCUCUAGCCAAUCAAGCCCAACAACCCCGGAUCCCAGCUCCGGUCAGCCAACCCCACCAGGCUCUGUUCUCAGCCCACCUAACCCAGCUCAAACUCAAACUCCCCCUCCACCACCGUACUCAAACCCAGUCCCACCUCCGCCAGACGCUAGCCCCAGCUCACAGUCGCCGCCGCCGCCUAACCCUGACCUAACUCAGCCACCGCCAUCACAAUCGCCGCCUCCUCCAGCCGUCAUUGUUAGUCCAGGGCCAACAGUCAGUCCACCGGGUCAGGUCCAGUUGACUCCAGGUCCAGGCAAUUCUUAGCUUAAGCUGAAUUUAAUGUGGAUCGUUUUGGUCAUCGAAGUCUUAAGGGUCAGGGAGUUCGGGGCCCUCGAGAAAUAAUGCCCUUUGACCAUAAAUUUUUUACACUUUACAGUCAUGCAGAUUCCCUUAUUUAUUUUUAAUUAUUUUGAAUUUUCUUUUUAUUUCUAUCUUGGUUUUGGUUUUUGGAAGCUCUGUCUGAAUAUGCUAAAUCCGAGGUUUGUAAAUCAAAACUGUUAGAAUCCAAUGGCAGUUGGGUGAAUGUUUCUGUAAAUGACACAAUUGACCCUAUGAUAAUUAUUGUUUUUGUGUUGAUAAUAUAAUGAUGAAAAUGGGAUACUUUUAAA